rnacentral:rRNA from 1 species
GGGUGCUAUACAUGCAAGUCGAGCGGUUCUCUUCGGAGAGCAGCGGCGGACGGGUGAGGAACACGUGAGUAACCGGGCGUCCGGUGGGGGAUAUCGGGCCGAAAGGCGCGGCAAUCCCGCAUACGGCUUGGCCGUGCAAGCGGCCAAGGGAAAGGUCUUCGGAUCGCCGGACGGGGGGCUCGCGGCCCAUUAGCUAGUUGGGGGGGUAAUGGCCUCCCAAGGCGACGAUGGGUAGCCGGCCUGAGAGGGUGAUCGGCCACACUGGGACUGAGACACGGCCCAGACUCCUACGGGAGGCAGCAGUAGGGAAUCUUCCACAAUGGGCGCAAGCCUGAUGGAGCAACGCCGCGUGAGUGAAGACGGCCUUCGGGUUGUAAAGCUCUGUCUGUCGGGACGAGGGCCCGGAUGCAAAUCCGGGAGGGACGGUACCGGCGGAGGAAGCCCCUGCAAACUACGUGCCAGCAGCCGCGGUAAGACGUAGGGGGCAAGCGUUGUCCGGAAUUACUGGGCGUAAAGGGCGUGUAGGCGGUUUCACACGUAGCGGUUUUCAGCCGCCGGCUCACCCGGCGGAGGGCGGCUAAACGGUGGAACUCGAGGGCAGGAGAGGUGCACGGAAUUCCUGGUGGAGCGGUGAAAUGCGUAGAGAUCAGGAAGAACACCGGUGGCGAAGCGGUGCACUGGCCUGGCCCUGACGCUGAGGCGCGACAGCGUGGGGAGCGAACGGGAUUAGAUACCCCGGUAGUCCACGCCGUAAACGAUGGAUACUAGGUGUCGCGGGGGUCCACCCGGCGGUGCCGGAGCUAACGCACUAAGUAUCCCGCCUGGGGAGUACGGCCGCAAGGUUGAAACUCAAAGGAAUUGACGGGGGCCCGCACAAG